rnacentral:rRNA from 1 species
UACAGAGGGGGCAAGCGUUGUCCGGAUUUACUGGGCGUACAGCGCGCGCAGGCGGUUGCGUAUGUGAGCGGUGACAUCCGCGGGCUCAACCCGCGGCGGCCCGCUUACACAGCGCGACUGGAGGCAGGGAGAGGGAUGUGGAAUACCCGGUGGAGCGGUGAAAUGCGCAGAUAUCAGGAGGAACACCAAUUGCGAAGGCAGCUCGCUGGGACGUAACUGACGCUGAGACGCGAAAGCGUGGGGAGCAAACAGG